UACGUAUUGUGCGAGCGUUGUCCGGAAUUAUUGGGCGUAAAGGGCUCGUAGGCGGUUUGUCGCGUCGGGAGUGAAAACGCCGUGCUUAACACGGCGCUUGCUUUCGAUACGGGCAGACUAGAGGUAUGCAGGGGAGAACGGAAUUCCUGGUGUAGCGGUGAAAUGCGCAGAUAUCAGGAGGAACACCGGUGGCGAAGGCGGUUCUCUGGGCAUUACCUGACGCUGAGGAGCGAAAGUGUGGGGAGCGAACAGG
rnacentral:rRNA from 1 species